CCAUGGGGUCAGGACUGCCCUGGUGGUCCAGUGAUUAAGACUCCAUGCUUCCAAUGGAGGGGGCACAGGUUCAACCCCUGGUAAGGGAACUGAGACCCUACAUGUUGUACGGCACAGCAACAAAACAAAACAAACCAUGAGUUCAAGUCUCAGUCUGGGUUCUGACUGGCUUUGAGUCCUGGCCUGUAGAUCCCAUCUGAAUUUCAUGGUUUUAGCAGGACCUUAAAGGGGAGUGGAUGCAUUGGCAAGACUAGAUCUUAGAUACUGAGGCCCUGGGGGCUUCCCUGUAGCUCAAAUAGUAAAGAAUUUGCCUUCAACGCAGGAGACCAGGGUUUGAUCCCUGGGUCAGGAAGAUCCCCUGGAGAUGGAAAUAGAAAUGGCAACACAACUGAGGAACUAACACUAUUACUACACUGAGGCCCUGAGAAGCUAGUGUCCCAAGCCCACUAUGGAAGCUGCCUGUCUUUGAGAAUCUGAACCUGGGGAGAGAAGGAAUGACCACAGUGGACUGAAGUGCCUCACCCUGCACUGCUGAGAAUUCUCUUGCAUUGGAGGGUAAUGAGUGAUGGAGACUCUACAGGGAUUUGGUGGGGAGAGGAGACUGCAGUCAAGCUCACAACGCACACUCACUUCAGAUGAGACUUAUGGAUUAUCACCACUGCUCUUAAGUGAGGUGUAUUGGCCAGAGUUCUGCUGAAAAUGACCCUAGACUGAGAUUCAAGUGUGCCUUCCAGAACCACACCAUCAAACUGAACUACAAGGGAGCUGCUGCCUCCAAAAAUGAAAAUUUCUGAUUUGGGAAGUUUCCCUACAGCUGCAGCCUGUUUCUUCAGCUGUUCUAGAAACCCUAGGAGCUCUUUAUAUCCUUAACAAUCUCUUUGUGUUUAAGCUAAUCAAGGUGACUGCAAUAAAGACUAUGUAUGACUUUAUAGCAGUUGGCACUGGAAUCUAUGUUGAGAAAGUGGACUUUUACAAUUUUUAUUUAUUUUCAUUCAUUUACUCAUUCAUUUAUAUUAUAAAUGGUAACUAUUUAGCCAGGUGACUUUUUCAACUUUGAGAGUCAACUCAGAUAUAAGGGCCUCAGCAGAAAGCACCUUUCUGCCUUGGUAUAGCUUUCUUUCUUUCCCUCUCUGCUUUCAAAGUGGUUACCUAGCCUAAAUUUACUAUUGAGUCUUCCUGAAAGGUACAAAAAGCAGCCAACACUUGCCAACAUACUCUGUUUUUCCCCAAAGCUAUCACCCUGGUGGGCACCUUUCACCAAACCCUCCAUAUCAGAGAGGAAAAGCGAACCUGUGGGGCCAUCCAGAUCUGCCUCUGCCCAUUCUGGUCCUCUUCUCUUUGCAGAGAAUAAUUAAUAUUGCUUGACAUCCGUUGACAGAGGCUCAAACUGCACAAUUUGUCUCUGGAGUCAGAGCUACUGUUAGUAGGGCCUGAAACUCGGGUAAUUCAGGGAAUUUCUUGAGGAAAAAUUAUACAAAACUACAAAUAGAAUGUUAGUUAUCGAUAGGGAGUGCUUAGAAUUGGAAGACAAAUCACAAAACUACAUGUGUAAAAAAGCAGACAAAUACCAGCAACUUCAUAAACUGCAGAAAACAACAUUGUGGGCUUACUUGUGUGCCUGACAAAUCUCUAAAACAAUUCCCUGCCCCCGCACCGCUCUGUUUUUGGCUAAAUAAAAAAGGACAUGUAAAGGACACAUAGCAAAGUCACCAAAUUCACUGAAUUGAAGCCGUGAUAUAUCUCAAGCUUGCUCCAUUGUCUGCACCAACUAUGUUUUCCUUUACAAGGCCAUCCAGCUUCCUUCCUUUUGUUUCCCGUAUUAGUGUCCCAAUUCUCCAAAUCACUUUUAUUUUUCUAUUUUAAUUUUCAUCUAAUUUUUAUUGGCUGUUGUAAUUCU
rnacentral:lncRNA from 1 species